rnacentral:rRNA from 1 species
UGUUAUGUGUAAGGAAAAGGGUAAGCCUAAUGAAUUGAUAGAAAUAUCUCAGGAAAGAGCGAUCAAUCCAAGUGUUCAGUAGGUAAAAGAUCUCAUAAAAAGCGAAUGUUUGCUAGUAAUAAGUGAAAUAAUGAUUAUAUCAUGAAUCGAAAGAUUGCUGACUUAUGUAUGUUCUGUUUUAAAAGUAUUGUCCUUUUAAGAAAAAUUUUAUUUUAUUUGCAUUACAUGUAAAACCAGCUAGUUUAUUUUAAAUAAAAAUUGUGGUAAAAUAAUAAAAACUAAUAUAAUGACGAAAAUUUAUAAGUUACAAAGGAGAAUAGCAAUAGCUUAUUUGAAUAAAAACAAACGUUUAUGAAGUAAAUUACAAAAUGAAUUAGUAAAUUUAGAAGAAGCUAAAAUAAAAGCAAUAAAGCAAAUUCACAAACGUAAAAGUAGUGAGACCAGCGGAAUUGACAAAAUUGUUUUAAAAGGUUCUAAAGGAAAGAAAGUUAGUAUUGAUGAAAUAUUAAUUCAAAUUCAAGAUCUUAAAAAUUAUGAAUUCAGUGCGGUACGUAGAGUAUUUAUACCAAAGAAAAAUAGCAAAAAGAAAAGGCCUUUGGGAAUUCCCACUAUAAGAGAUAGAGUUGUGCAAACUUUGUUUGCUAUGGUCUUGAACCUAUAAGCGAAGUUAUGUCUGAUAGAUGCAGUUUUGCAUAUAGACCUUAUCGAAGUGCUAAAGAUGCCUGUCAAUAUAUUUGAUUUCUUUUAAGUAGACAGCGAGGCAACCCUAGAUGAAUUUUCGAAAGAGAUAUCAAGGGUUUCUUUGAUAAUAUAUGCCAUGAGUGAAUAUUAGAAAAUAUUCCUAUGGAUAAAAAGAUAUUGUCAAAAAUGUUAAAAGCUGGCGUUAUGAAUGAAGGCAGUUAUCAAGAUACUGAAGAAGGUAUUCCACAGGGUGGUGUAAUAUCUCCUAUUAUAGCUAAUUUAUGCCUUGAUGGUUUAGAUAAAACUAUAAAAAGGGCGUCUAAUAAUAAAGCAACUCUUGUGAGAUAUGCGGAUGAUUUCAUUAUAGUGUCCCAGAACUAUGAUAUUUUAGAUAAGUUAAUUCUAGAUGUUAACAAAUUUCUAAAAAUAAGAGGUUUAGAAUUAAAUAUGGAAAAAAGUAAAAUCACUAAAAUUGAAAAUGGAUUUGAUUUUGUAGGUUUCCACUUUAGGGAAUUCUCGGAUUCUACUCGAGAAAUCGGGGAAAAGAAAGGGAUUUUUCUAUACAAACCUACAAAAGAAAGCUUACAAAAAGUAAAAGCUAAAAUAAAACUUUGUGUCAAAGAACAUUCGCAACUUCCUCUGUGAAUGCUUUUCUCAAAACUAAAUCCAAUAUUAAGGGGCUGAGCAAAUUAUUACUCGUCUAGUACUGCAAAGUUAGCUUAUACCCGAAUAAGUAAAUACGUUUUUGAUUCCAUUCAUCGCAUGAUAAAAAUUAAGCAUCCAAAGCUUAAUGCUAAAGCGCUUAAAUCCAAAUUUUAUCACAAAGUGAAUAAUAGAGAUUGAUUAAUGUCUACUAGCACUGAAUUUAAAAGAUUUAAGAAAAUUAAUUUGUUUCAAAUAUCCGACACUCCUAUUAAAAGAACUACUAUGAUAAAACUUGACGCUAAUUCCUAUUUGGGUGAGUUUGAGGAGUAUUUUAAUAAAAGAUCUUUGAAUAUGUGUUUUAAUCAGCAAACGAAUAAUAUUCGAUUAAAGCUGGCAAAAAGACAAAAAGGUAUGUGCCCUAUAUGUAAAGAAUCUUUAAAUAGUCAAUAUGGAGAUAUAUUGUACGAAUUAGAAAUUCACCAUAUCAUACCUGUGGUGAGUGGAGGUAAAAAUAUAUUAAAAAAUAUGACUCUUCUUCAUAAAACGUGUCAUCGCGACAGAGCUGCGAAUGAAUAAUUAUACUUAAGGAACUCGGCAAAUUUGCUCCGUACGUUCGCAACAAGGAGUACCUUAAAGGAUUCAAAAAUUAGGGGUAGCGACUGUUUAACAAAAACUCAAAACUUUGCAAAUUCGAAAGAAGACGUAUAAGGUUUGACGCCUGCCCAGUGCUUGAAAGCGAAAAAUACACGUUAACGCUUGUAUCAUAAACUCAAGUAAACGGCGGUCUUAACUAUAAGGAUCCUCAGGUAGCGAAAUUCCUUGGCGGGUAAAUUCCGUCCUGCAUGAAUGGCGUCACGACUACCCCACUGUCUCUAGUAUAAACUCAGCGAAAUUACAUUGUCUGUGAAAAUGCAGACAUCCUACAACAAGACGGAAAGACCCUAUGAUUCUUAACUAUAAUUUUACGUCGCAAUAAUUUUGUGUACAGUACAGUAAAAGUAGGAGUAUACUUAUACAAUUUUGAAAAACUACUCUGUACAUAAGAAAUUGCUUACUGAAGAGAAAAUAUGUAAAAGUGGUAGUUUACUUGGGACGAGGACCUCCUAAACUGUAACGGAGGUGCACAAAAGUAAAUUUUAAUUAGUUUUUUGUAUUAAUAAAAUAUGUAAUGGUAAAAAUUUGCUUGACGGUAAGAGUUACAACUCAAACCGGGACGAAAGUCGGUCAUAAUGAUCCGGCAGUAAUGUAUGGAAAUACUGUCGCUUAUCGGAAAAAAGAAACUCUAGGGAUAACAGAUUUAUCAUGGCUGAGAGUUCUUAUCGACGCCAUGGUUUGAUACCUCGAUGUCGGCUCAUCUUUUCCUGGAGCUGUAACAGGUUCCAAGGGUAUGGUUGUUCGCCAAAUAAUAAGAUACGUGAGCUGGGUUCAGAACGUCGUGAGACAGUUCGGUCCCUAUCUGUUGUGGGUAAGAAAACGUAAAUAGCUAAUCUCCACUUUAGGGAUUAAACUAAUAUUACAGGUAGGAAGCUAGUUCAUACAGAUCUAGUGGGCCUAUGCAUUACUCCUAAUGCUGAUCAAUGAGCUGUGUUACAAGCAGUGAACCCUAUGCAACGUGAAAAUAGUCAUUCACGGAGUAUAAGCAGGGCAUAAAUUUAAGUGGAUGUUACUUAUAAACAUUUUAACUCGAAGAGAAUAUAUAAAUCAGUAAAUCUGUCAAGAAAAGCAGUUAUAGAAGUAUAA